rnacentral:rRNA from 1 species
CCUUCGGGAGGCAGCAGUGGGGAAUAUUGCACAAUGGGCGCAAGCCUGAUGCAGCCAUGCCGCGUGUAUGAAGAAGGCCUUCGGGUUGUAAAGUACUUUCAGUCGUGAGGAAGGUGUUAAGGUUAAUAACCUUAGCAAUUGAUGUUAGCGACAGAAGAAGCACCGGCUAACUCCGUGCCAGCAGCCGCGGUAAUACGGAGGGUGCGAGCGUUAAUCGGAAUUACUGGGCGUAAAGGGCACGUGGGUGGUUAAUUAAGUUAGAUGUGAAAUCCCGUGGCGUAACCGGGGAGUGGCAUUGAAGACUGGUUAGAUAGAGUCUUGUAGAGGGGGGUAGUAUUCCAUGUGUAGCGGUGAAAUGCGUAGAUAUGUGGAGGGAUGCCGGUGGCGAAGGCGGCCCCCUGGACAAAGAGAGACGCUCAUGGGCGGGGGCGUGGGGAGCAAACAAGAUUAUAUACCCUAGUAGGC